rnacentral:rRNA from 1 species
ACACCGGCGGCCCGAGUGGUGAUCGUGAUUAUUGGGUCUAAAGGGUCCGUAGCCGGUUUGGUCAGUCCUCCGGGAAAUCUGAUAGCUCAACUAUUAGGCUUUCGGGGGAUACUGCCAGACUUGGAACCGGGAGAGGUAAGAGGUACUACAGGGGUAGGAGUGAAAUCUUGUAAUCCCUGUGGGACCACCUGUGGCGAAGGCGUCUUACCAGAACGGGUUCGACGGUUGAGGGACGAAAGCUGGGGGCAC